rnacentral:tRNA from 1 species
GGGCAAAUGGUCUAGGGGUAUGAUUUUCCCUUCGCAUUGAUUCUACGGAGUCCACAUCGUAUGGGAAAGGUCCGGGGUUCAAUUCCCCGUUUGUCCA